AUUGAACGCUGGCGGCAGGCCUAACACAUGCAAGUCGAGCGGAUGAAGGGAGCUUGCUCCUGGAUUCAGCGGCGGACGGGUGAGUAAUGCCUAGGAAUCUGCCUGGUAGUGGGGGAUAACGUCCGGAAACGGGCGCUAAUACCGCAUACGUCCUGAGGGAGAAAGUGGGGGAUCUUCGGACCUCACGCUAUCAGAUGCGCCUAGGUCGGAUUAGCUAGUUGGUGGGGUAAAGGCCUACCAAGGCGACGAUCCGUAACUGGUCUGAGAGGAUGAUCAGUCACACUGGAACUGAGAAACGGUCCAGACUCCUACGGGAGGCAGCAGUGGGGAAUAUUGGACAAUGGGCGAAAGCCUGAUCCAGCCAUGCCGCGUGUGUGAAGAAGGUCUUCGGAUUGUAAAGCACUUUAAGUUGGGAGGAAGGGCAGUAAGUUAAUACCUUGCUGUUUUGACGUUACCAACAGAAUAAGCACCGGCUAACUUCGU
rnacentral:rRNA from 1 species